rnacentral:lncRNA from 1 species
UUCAGCACAACUCUUGCCGGAAUUAGGAGCAAAAAUACAACCUUUAUCGUCCCAAAGAUUCGAACCCAUGACCUUCCUCACACCAACACUCCACUUAUGCACCAGACCAAUAAACCCAUUCUGUUAAUUAUUUGCUAACUUUUACUUAAAAACAUGCUGACUAAAGAUAGAGCUUAUUUAUAAAAAUACCAAAAUUUGUCCAAGUUCUAGCUUGAAUUUGAGACUUCCCAAACACUCCCAAGACACAUAACCACUAAAGCUAAUCGAUGUUUGUGUCACAUUCAUAAUACCCAAAAUUAAAAUUUUGGGGCGUUACAAGUCUUGCCGCUAACUCUAGUUUGUAAGUCACUUGGCUUACUCGCUUUUAAACUCUAAAAGGGUCCUUGUGUCUUCAUCAAGCCAACGGUAAGCCAUAAUGUAAAACACUAAAUAUGUGUUUGAGAUGUACCUUACUUGUAGCAUUUAUUCCCUUAUUGAUAACUCAGUAGGCUUAAUAUCGUUAUUCUAC